UCCCUGUAGGGUCUGGUCCCCUGUGGGGUCUGAUCCCCUUCGCUGUUCUCCCAGCGCUCAGGCUGCCCAACAAGGGUGCUGGCCAUACGUGAAAUGGGGAUUCAGAGCGGCUGCAAGGAAGGUCAUCUGAAACUGAAGUGCUGGCUUCUUAACCAUUGUUUUGGGGAUCAAGCAAUGAAAAAUAUAAACUCAAGAAUAUUGAAAUUAAGCACCAACGAAUUAAGCAGGGGAAAGGUGGGUCCUACGUCAGUCCCCCAAGAGAUGCUGCUAAAAUCAUAAAGAGAGUUUGCCCAAUGAAAGAUUUGCUACCG